GACGAACGCUGGCGGCGUGCUUAACACAUGCAAGUCGAACGCUGAAGCUCAGCUUUUGUUGGGUGGAUGAGUGGCGAACGGGUGAGUAACACGUGAGUAACCUGCCCCCUUCUUUGGGGUAACGCCCGGAAACGGGUGCUAAUACUGGAUAUUCACUGGUCUUCGCAUGGGGGCUGGUGGAAAGGGUUUUUCUGGUGGGGGAUGGGCUCGCGGCCUAUCAGCUUGUUGGUGGGGUGAUGGCCUACCAAGGCUUUGACGGGUAGCCGGCCUGAGAGGGUGACCGGUCACAUUGGGACUGAGAUACGGCCCAGACUCCUACGGGAGGCAGCAGUGGGGAAUAUUGCACAAUGGGCGCAAGCCUGAUGCAGCGACGCCGCGUGAGGGAUGGAGGCCUUCGGGUUGUGAACCUCUUUCGCUCAUGGUCAAGCCGCAACAAUGGUUGUGGUGAGGGUAGUGGGUAAAGAAGCGCCGGCUAACUACGUG
rnacentral:rRNA from 1 species